rnacentral:rRNA from 1 species
UACGUAGGGUGCGAGCGUUAAUCGGAAUUACUGGGCGUAAAGCGUGCGCAGGCGGUUUUGUAAGCCAGAUGUGAAAGCCCCGGGCUCAACCUGGGAAUGGCAUUUGGGACUGCAAGGCUUGAGUGCGGCAGAGGAGACUGGAAUUCCUGGUGUAGCGGUGAAAUGCGCAGAUAUCAGGAGGAACACCAGCGGCGAAGGCGGCGCUCUGGGCCGGUACUGACGCUGAGGAGCGAAAGCGUGGGUAGCAAACAGG